AGUACGGGAAACUGCUUAGAGGUUAAGCCCGAUGAACCUGAAUAUCCGUUAUGGAAAAUUCAUCACUAAUACUAUGAUAUAUAUCAUAUUAUAGAAAUAGUGUGCAAUUUUUCCAUAUAAGGACAUUGUAAUCUGUUAAUGUAAUAAAUAUUUAUCAUAAGAUCUUUUACUUAAGUUUAUUCAAAUUAGUUAUUUUCGGAUUUCUAACAUAGAAUAAAUGUAUUAGAUUUGAUAAAUCAUUGACAGAUUUAAUUGUAUAUAGUGCUUAAAUUUUUCGGAAUUUUACAAUGGUGAGUAAAUCUAUUGAUUUAUUUAUAUUGUAUGCGCUUAUAUGAUUAACAAUGCGAUAGAUUCAGGAUACCUUCGGGACCCGUCUUGAAACACGGACCAAGGAGUCUAACAUAUGUGCAAGUCAUUGGGUAUUUUUAAUAAAACCCAAUGGCAUAAUUAACUUAACUGUUUUAAAUGGGAUUAGUUUAUAUUUUAUUAUGAAAUAUGAAUUCAAUCCCGGGGCGUUCUAUACAGUUAUGCAUAAUGAUAUUUAUAUUAUUUAUGCCUCUAACUAGAGC
rnacentral:rRNA from 1 species